AAAUUGAAGAGUUUGAUCAUGGCUCAGAUUGAACGCUGGCGGCAGGCCUAACACAUGCAAGUCGAGCGGUAGCACAGAGAGCUUGCUCUCGGGUGACGAGCGGCGGACGGGUGAGUAAUGUCUGGGAAACUGCCUGAUGGAGGGGAUAACUACUGGAAACGGUAGCUAAUACCGCAUAACGUCGCAAGACCAAAGUGGGGGACCUUCGGGCCUCAUGCCAUCAGAUGUGCCCAGAUGGGAUUAGCUAGUAGGUGGGGUAACGGCUCACCUAGGCGACGAUCCCUAGCUGGUCUGAGAGGAUGACCAGCCACACUGGAACUGAGACACGGUCCAGACUCCUACGGGAGGCAGCAGUGGGGAAUAUUGCACAAUGGGCGCAAGCCUGAUGCAGCCAUGCCGCGUGUGUGAAGAAGGCCUUCGGGUUGUAAAGCACUUUCAGCGGGGAGGAAGGCGUUAAGGUUAAUAACCUUGGCGAUUGACGUUACCCGCAGAAGAAGCACCGGCUAACUCCGUGCCAGCAGCCGCGGUAAUACGGAGGGUGCAAGCGUUAAUCGGAAUUACUGGGCGUAAAGCGCACGCAGGCGGUCUGUCAAGUCGGAUGUGAAAUCCCCGGGCUCAACCUGGGAACUGCAUUCGAAACUGGCAGGCUAGAGUCUUGUAGAGGGGGGUAGAAUUCCAGGUGUAGCGGUGAAAUGCGUAGAGAUCUGGAGGAAUACCGGUGGCGAAGGCGGCCCCCUGGACAAAGACUGACGCUCAGGUGCGAAAGCGUGGGGAGCAAACAGGAUUAGAUACCCUGGUAGUCCACGCCGUAAACGAUGUCGAUUUGGAGGUUGUGCCCUUGAGGCGUGGCUUCCGGAGCUAACGCGUUAAAUCGACCGCCUGGGGAGUACGGCCGCAAGGUUAAAACUCAAAUGAAUUGACGGGGGCCCGCACAAGCGGUGGAGCAUGUGGUUUAAUUCGAUGCAACGCGAAGAACCUUACCUGGUCUUGACAUCCACAGAACUUAGCAGAGAUGCUUUGGUGCCUUCGGGAACUGUGAGACAGGUGCUGCAUGGCUGUCGUCAGCUCGUGUUGUGAAAUGUUGGGUUAAGUCCCGCAACGAGCGCAACCCUUAUCCUUUGUUGCCAGCGGUUAGGCCGGGAACUCAAAGGAGACUGCCAGUGAUAAACUGGAGGAAGGUGGGGAUGACGUCAAGUCAUCAUGGCCCUUACGACCAGGGCUACACACGUGCUACAAUGGCAUAUACAAAGAGAAGCGACCUCGCGAGAGCAAGCGGACCUCAUAAAGUAUGUCGUAGUCCGGAUUGGAGUCUGCAACUCGACUCCAUGAAGUCGGAAUCGCUAGUAAUCGUAGAUCAGAAUGCUACGGUGAAUACGUUCCCGGGCCUUGUACACACCGCCCGUCACACCAUGGGAGUGGGUUGCAAAAGAAGUAGGUAGCUUAACCUUCGGGAGGGCGCUUACCACUUUGUGAUUCAUGACUGGGGUGAAGUCGUAACAAGGUAACCGUAGGGGAACCUGCGGUUGGAUCACCUCCUUA
rnacentral:rRNA from 1 species